CAGUAAUUGUUAUUUUAAUUCUUUGAGAUGGGACUAAGUAGAGUUUUCAGUUACUUUGCUUUAGCAUUGUUCAUUCAAUAUUCCUGCAGUCAGACACUGGUCGAGUCUGAUUCAGUGAUCAUCAAACCUGGUCAGUCUCAUACACUGACCUGCACAGCAUCUGGAUUUAGCUUUGGUAGCUACUGGAUGGGUUGGAACAGACAGGCUCCUGGAAAAGGACUGGAAUGGGUUGCAAUUAUUGAUCAGGGCAGUAGUAGCAAGUUUUACUCCAGUGCAGUUAAUGGUCGCUUCACCAUCUCCAGAGACAACAGUAAGAUGCAGGUGUAUCUGCACAUGAGCAGCAUGAGGACAGAAGACACUGCAGUGUAUUACUGCGCUAAAGAUACACAGUGA